ensembl:lncRNA
CUUUAAGCUCUGCAGCUUGUGGAGAUGAUCUGGUUAUCCAGUUCAGCCUUUGGUCUGGGAUGGAAAUUCCUUAUGUAGUUUCUUUUUUUUUUUGUCUGAGUAAAUGUGGAUAACGCAGCCUCUGGUUUUGCUAGAAAUACAUCUCUAGCUGACUAAUCCUGCCAGCCUACGUAAGUGGAAAACCUGGCAGCCUUGAAUAAUACCACAGUAUUUUGACACAAGUGUUUACUGAAAGAAAAAAAACAAAGUAGGCUCAAUGCUCUGACUGCAGAAGGCCCCCAAUACAAACUUAUCAGUAGAGGUGGCAACUGAAGUACUUUGGAACCUUCCUCGUUGUAGCUGUCACUACUUGAAGAGAGUUACAGUUCUUGAGUGUGAGAAAGCAAGAUUGACACAGCAGGAGUGGUAUUUUAGAGCUGGAGAAGUGGCUUGCUACAGCUCUGUUUAUUAGCCCUGGCAGAAGAAAAUUGUAACGUAUUCUUCAAGCAUUUUGAGAUUCAAACGUUUUAACUUCAGGAAAGGGAAACGAACAUGAGAUGUGACAAACAUUCCUGAAGGACAACUGUGUUGUACGUAGUAAGGUGGACAGAAGAGCGG